AAGUCGAGCGNCAAGGGGUAGCAAUACCCCNUAGAGCGGCGGACUGGUGAGUAACGCGUGGGUGACCUACCCUUAGGUUGGGGAUAGCCAUUAGAAAUAGUGGGUAAUACCGAAUAUGGUUGUUUUGCUAUGGCAAGACAAAGAAAGGAGCCUUGGCUCCGCCUGAGGAUGGGCCCGCGUCCCAUUAGGUAGUUGGUGAGGUAAAGGCCCACCAAGCCCGAGAUGGGUAGCCGGCCUGAGAGGGUGAACGGCCACACUGGGACUGAGAUACGGCCCAGACUCCUACGGGAGGCAGCAGCUAAGAAUAUUCCGCAAUGGACGAAAGUCUGACGGAGCGACGCCGCGUGUAUGAAGAAGGCCGAAAGGUUGUAAAGUACUUUUCUUGCUGAAGAAUAAGCGUGGGAGGGAAUGCCCGCGUGAUGACGGUAAGCAAGGAAUAAGCCCCGGCUAAUUACGUGCCAGCAGCCGCGGUAACACGUAAGGGGCGAGCGUUGUUCGGAAUUAUUGGGCGUAAAGGGCGCGUAGGCGGUUACAUAAGUCUGGCGUGAAAGGCAGGGGCUUAACUCCUGGACUGCGCUGGAAACUGCGUAACUUGAGUCAUGGAGGGGGAGUUGGAAUUCCUGGUGUAGGGGUGAAAUCUGUAGAUAUCAGGAAGAACACCGGUGGCGAAGGCGAAC
rnacentral:rRNA from 1 species